rnacentral:rRNA from 1 species
GAUGAACGCUGGCGGCAUGCCUAAUACAUGCAAGUCGAGCGAACAGACGAGGAGCUUUCUCCUCUGACUUUAUCGGCGGACGGGUGCUUCACACGUGGAUAACCUACCUAUACGACUGGGAUAACAUCGGGAAACCGUAUCUAAUACCGGAUAAUAUAUUGCACCGCAUUGUGCACUAGUUAGAGACGGUUUUGCUGUCACUUAUAGAUGGAUCCGCGCCGCAUUAGCUAGUUGGUAAGGUAACGGCUUACCAAGGCAACGAUGCGUAGACGACCUGAGAGGGUGAUCGGACACACGGGAACUGAGACACAGUCCAGACUCCUACGGGAGGCAGCAGUAGGGAAUCUUACGCAAUGGGCGAAAGCCUGACGGAGCAACGCCGCGUGAGUGAUGAAGGUCUUCGGAUCGUAAAACUCUGUUAUUAGUGAAGAACAAAUGUGUAAGUAACUAUGCACGUCUUGACGGUACCUAAUCAGAAAGCCACGGCUAACUACGUG